CUCUUGUUUUGCAGAUGAAAACAGCAGAACUUCGCACCGCAGGAAAUGACAAUCUUGAGCCCAGGGAGCAGAACAUACGGAUAUGCUACUUUGUAUAUUAACCAAAGAAUGUGUGAAGGGGAAAGAUUAUCUUGGAUUACCUGUGUGACAGACUGGAGAUGUGAUAGUAUAAGCAGAGGUUAGAGUGAUACUUCUUGAAGAAAGUGAAGAAGCGACAAGGAUUGCAUGAAGCUUCUGAAACCUAGAGCCUUCUGCCCCUGGAAAAUGAUAACAACAACAGAAAGAACUGAUGGGGUAAAGGAGGCUGAAGGAGGAUAAGCCAUUGCCUUGAUCUCAUGGUGAUUACUAGAAAGGAAACAGUUUACCUUAAAAGAUGUGGUAUGUUCUACACUCAAUGGGAGGUAAACGAAAACUGUCUCAGAAUUCAAACUCUACAGAACACAGAUGUUCCAAAAGACAGACUGGGGGCGCCGCAUCACGGAGAAUGAGACUGUCAGCUGCAAGCACAGAAUUCCUGAUGAAGACCAGGUUGGUGUAAUCAAAACUGACUCUUUCCCAACUAUCGGGGGAAGUGAUGAAGAGUGAGUGGCAAAGGAGACAGGUCUACUUGGGAAGACACGCGAGAAUGUUUCCAAUAGCAGGAGAAAUUCACAAUUCUGCAAAGAGCUGAACCAUGAAACAUAAAGAGAAGAAAAAACACCUGGAAAAGAAAUUCAAAAAACCACCUGUGAAAAAGUCAAGGGGUACAAGAGGAAAGUUGGAUUUACAAGAUAUUCUGCAGUGUACAGCCAAGGUACUGGCCAGAACUCAAGGACACAAAGUGGUGGAUAGUUCUUCCUCAGCCUCAGAGGACCUCUCCUAUGAAGACAAAUUCUUGAAUACAGAACUGCACAACUCUCCAGAGGAUGCCACCAAGACACAUGAGAUGGACCCAAGUUCAAAUCAGGAUGCAGGAGAGAAUUUCUCAGCAUCAGAACAUCUGACCUGCAUCUCUUCUUCAAACAAGUGUGUUCCCAUGGACCAGGAUGGUAAGGCAGAUGCAGAGGUAACCUGAAGUCGGACAAGAGGUGCAGCUGAGCAGCCUCCCGACCCCAUUCACUUCCUUCACAUAACUUUCCUUCGUAUACAAGAAAGGGCUUCAGGGAAGAGGGAUGAAGACAGACUCCUCUGGUGAGGGACGGAUAGGAAAUCUGCUUUCCAGAAGAGGACAGUUCCUCAGCACACACUUUCAUGUGAACACUGGGGCCACUGUGGAUGAGGCAGUGGCCUAUGUGAUGUGCAGGAGGUGGGAUCAGAGCCUUCCCCUCAGAUCAGUGUAUAGACUCAGCACACACUCACAUGUCACACUCCUCCAUUUCUUUUGCUUUUUACCUUUCUCAUACAUACCUCUUCUCUCCCCAUUGUCCCAGUAUCAGCAUUACAUAGGUACAGCCUUAUGCCUACAUUCCUGAAGUCAUCCUCAUACUCAGCCACCAUUGUACACUUUAAUCCUGUAAAUAACUUCAGAUUGCCUCACAGAGAUAAACUGUUACCUCCCAUGGAUGACCUGCUUUAAUUCCAUAAUGCUACUGGUAGACAAAAUACUAGAAAACUCUUGUGCCCUUCCUAAUAUGUAUAUGUUCUCACACAAAAGUCUCUCCUUCCACCACACCUUCAGCCCUGCACAAAGCUGCAUGUGCCGAGAUCAUGAACACCUCCUCUAAUAUCUAAGGCUACUGUCACACCAUCUACCAGUAUUUACAAUGAAAUCACAUGUGCUAUCAUACAGUAUCACACACACACACACACACACACACACACACACACACACAGAUUCUGCCAAAAAAUGUACACACACUUCAGGAAAAGAAAAACUUGUAUAAAUAUUUUAAUACUAUAUUUCCUGAGAUAUUAUGAGAUCAAUACAAGUUAUCUUUGGCCUCUACAAUUACAAGAGGUGCUCAAAGUGGAGGCCAUUAGCAGUGAACUGCUGCUUGGGUGACCUUGGUCAGUGAGACUGCUACACAUUUAUUUUCAGUGUCUUCUCUAAGGGCUGACAAUGGAGUGGGUUUUCUGCAAUAUACAACAUCUUCUAUGGCCCCCCCAUAUGAGGGUAACACCAUCUGUUGAAAAAAAUAUACUAUUUUUCUUUUCUUGAAGUGUGUAUACAUUUUUGGCAGACUAUAUAUACAUACAUAUAUGUACAUGUCUAUAUACAUGUAUACACAUAUAUGAUUUCUAGUAGAUGCCCCACACACUCAUUUUCCACAUAGGAUUACAAAGCACAUACAUUACAUGAUACAAAUCACACACAAAAUAUGACUCCACCCCAGGACAUUCUCAUGGCCAUCUUAUCUCCUUAUUUUUGAAGCUUUCUUUCCCAGAUACCAAUAUACUACCUCAAAUAUGUUCCAGGUUCUGGAUCCUCCAAGAUGUUUUUAAGUCAAGAUUUGAUGGAGAGGGAGAAUUUCUCCUUCGUGGCAUGUUCCUAUUUGCCUCCCUUCUUGGCCAAAAACCCCUCAGAGUCUGCAACAUCUGCUAAAAAGAAAAGUCAUGAAUUUACUAUAAGCCUGUUCCAAUGAAUAAGGAUAUGGCUGCCUUGGGGGAUACAGAAAAAGAUCUGGAGCCCCCCACAAAGAUGAUAAGAAUAGUAAAAAUUACCUAUCCUGAGAAGAUUCCUUCAACAGCUAGCCUUUCUUAUGUGUGCCUAAGAGACAUCUGACAGUGAAGAUAGCUUGGACAGGGAAGUUCAAGAGGAAAGGGAAGAAGAUGAGAAUCUGGCCCAGGAGUCAGGUCCUGGUGCCAAAACACCUGCAGGGCUGGAGGACCUGUAUAGCGGCUUUAGUUGCAUGGGCUGCUGCCAGGUCUUCCCCACUACACAGAUGCUUAAGAAACACCUGGAGCAUGGGGUUGAGGAUGGUGCUCCCUGCCUCAGUCUUGCAUUUGCUAAACUAAAAAACAAAGUGAAGCAAAGCCAGAGGAUCACAGAGGGGGAGAAUAGGAAUAUGACAACAUCUGGAGGCGAUAUGGAGAUACUUUUGAGGUUCUUGUCACUUUUGGCUUUUUGUAGUUUUUUGUUUUACUAUUAUAAUAGAAACUAAAUCAUUCUUGUGUUUCUACAAAUAAUAAAUUAGAGGCAAUAACUCAAGAAGGCACCAGAAAGCUUUUCCUUCCACAAAAUAACAGAAGGAAUAAGCAUCUUCACAACCUAAGCCUUUGGUUAACGUUUUUCUUUUCAUCUCUGUUCUCUCACAUCAGCCUUCUGUUUUUAGAAUGGGUCUCAAAGUUUGUAUUUUACCUUUAGUUUAUUAUGUAUUAGUACAUGUUGGUAGUACAUAACGUUUACAUACCUUGGGAGUAAUUGGUGCAUGUACAACACAUCUUACACUUUCUUUAUAUCAUCCCCUUUCACUCCCCUCCCAUCCAGUCCUCUCCCUUUGAUCUACGGGAUCAGAUCGGUUGGUUAUUCCUUGCCUCCUGAUUCCCUGUGAUGGGCUCCCGAGAGGAAGGGCGCUGCCUGACCAAUACAGGUCUGCUUGCUCCCCUGCUGGUGAGACACACUCCUCUGGAGCAGGUGUGCUUGCUCGUGGGGUCAGGUGCUGCUGCUCAGGCACAGUCUGCUCUCAGGUGAGGGUGGGAUGGUGCUCUUUUGGCAAAUGUCUGCUUGCUCGUCUAAAGGUGGGUGCUGCUCCUCUAGGCUGGCUCUGCUACAUAGCAAAUAUUUUAAAUGUAAAAUUCACAUUGUUUCUUAUCGCAUCUCAUAUAUAGGGGAAAGUGUAUUAAUAUAGUUAAAUUUGCAAAUGACAAGUGAUGUCCACCAUAAAUUGC
rnacentral:lncRNA from 1 species